GGAGCCGCUGGGCGGGGCGGGGCCCUGAGUAACCGGUCCUCCCCUCAGGGGCGGUACUGAGCUCAGGAGUCCGCCCAGGCUACUUUUUCUUUCUCAUCUUUUGUUCUUUUCUAAUUUUUUUCCUUAAAAAUAUUCUAAUUUUUUUCUUUUCUUCUUUCAUUUUCUUGAGACAGUGCCUUAGCCAUCCUUAGCAUUUGCUGUAUAGCUAAGGAUGACCUUAAGAUCCUCCUGCUUCCACAGCCCACAAAAUGAGAUUAUAGGUAUAGGUCACCAGGUCCAAUUCUAUUUUAUUUAAAAGUCAGUUUACAAAGUAGCAGAUUUCUUAAGGCAUUUUCAUACAUCCCUAGUUUGACUUGAACGUCCAUCUCAUUGACCCAUCCCCUUCUAUCCUUCCACCUCCGGGAUUCCUCCUUUCCAGGGUUACUGUGUUCUGUAACCGUUCCCAUCCCCUCUCAAGGACCCUUCUCUAGUUUCUUGGCCUCCAAAGAGCUUAAAAGGAAACUUUGGGAUAAUAAUCCCCCACGCCAUCCCAUCCCGAGGUCCUGAGUCUUUCUGGAGGAAGUACUUUGCAGGACUCAGAGUCCCGUGCUCACGGGAUAUUGGCUGCUGCAUCACUUUGGUGUAUGGCUGUUCUGCCUGCACACCUUGUGCACUCCUGGUAUUUGCAGAAGUCCGAGGGUAUGAGAACCCCUGGAACGUGGGUUACCGAUAGUUGUGAGCUACGCUGUGGCCGCUGGGAAUCAAACCUAGGUCUCCUGCAAGAGCAGUAAGAGCUCGUAGCCACUAAGCUACCUCUCCAGCUUCUGUGAUGACUGUUUUUGGUUGUCAGCUUGACCACAUCUGGAAUGAACUACAAUCCCGAAAUGGAGGGCCCACCUGUAGGAGACCAUUUGAUUGGUGUGAAGUAGGUGAAUCCACUUCUAGUCCAGACCUCUGAGGCAGGAUGCCUUUGACCUGGGUCUUGAGGCGGGAAGACAUGCCUUUAAUCUGGGCGAUAGCUUCUGGAAGGAUGUAGAAGAAGGAAGCGUUUGCUCUUUGCCUGCUUGCCCUUGCCUUGCUAGCACACACGUUCUUUCACCGACAUUAGAGCAUACUUUGGGACUCCAGCACAUACUGAAGACCAGCUGAGACAUCCAGCCUUGUGGACUGAGCAACUACUGGAUUCUUGGACUUUGUUGGAUUAGCUGGACUGCAGCCUGUAAGUCAUUCAGGCCGAGAUUCAUUCUAUUAGUUGUUACUCUGCAAAACACUGACUAAUACAGCUCAUAUCCCUGAAGUCUUAAGAACUGACAUUAAGUAAAUAUGUGUCCUUGGAGAACUUCGCACUUUGUACUUUGGGGUUUAUCCAAACAGAACAGUGGCUUCUCUGGACCCAGGGCACACAGAGGUAGGAAGAGCCUUAAGAACUUCAUGCGCUGACUGGAGACAGAGCCCAGUCUGUAAAGUGAUUGCUUUGCAAGCAUGAAGGUCUGAGAAUGAUCCCCAGAAUCUAGAGGUUAAAGCUAGAAGUGGUGGUGUGCUUGUAUUCCCCUGCUGAGGAGGCAAAGACAGGUGCAUGCCGGGGCCUUUCUGACCCACCAGCCUGGCCUAAGCAGUGAACUCCAGAAAAAUUGUGAAAGCAAACAAGGAGGAUGCUUCUUGAGUCCCCCAGUAAUGGGAGAAACCUGAACAUGCAAAGUAAAGUGUUGAGAAGAGAAUCCCCCAGGUUGCAGAUCUUAUUCUCACACAUUAAAACUCAUUCAUAAAGUGCCCAUU